rnacentral:rRNA from 1 species
UACGAAGGGGGCUAGCGUUGUUCGGAAUUACUGGGCGUAAAGUGUGCGCAGGCGGCAGAGCAAGUCGAGUGUGAAAGCCCCGGGCUUAACUUGGGAAUUGCGCUCGAAACUACUUUGCUGGAGUGUGGCAGAGGAAGGUGGAAUUCCACGUGUAGCGGUGAAAUGCGUAGAGAUGUGGAGGAACACCAAUGGCGAAGGUAGCCUUCUGGGCCAACACUGACGCUCGUGCACGAAAGCGUGGGGAGCAAACAGG